UAUUGCGAGGGAUACGAGUCUGCUGUUUUGACUGGCAUUUUAAUGCUUAUUAUGAAAUCCAGGAAGACCGGCAUAAUUUGUGCAGUUAAGGCUCUUACAGACUACAUGACUUUAAAACGUAGGUCCAAACUGCGCGGUUCACACUACAUGACUUGCUCUCUGUGAAAUCAGGAGUGUUCACGUUGUUGAGCAGUUCACACCACACGACACAACGCGAAUGCCCCACAACAGGAGGUAACGCACUACACGAGUUGAAAACAACUCUAUCACCCAACGAUUCUAUCUUGUCUACAAACCACGUUCUGUCAUGAAAAAUCACGCGAUAAAACAAACCGGAAAUGACGCGAAACAACACGCGCGCCAGUAAACCCACAGAAGAAGAAACCAGAAGACGCGCAAAACUUUUGUUUGUAUAUAUAGACUUCAGACAGAAAUUAGUGCUGCAAACCGUUUGCGCGAUGCAAAGCCGCAAAAGAAAAAAAAUUAUAGAGAUGUGAUGUGGAGAGGUGGAUCAGAACCACACGCGGACAGCAGGGAUUAAAGAUUUGAGGUGAGUAACUGUUACAGCUUGUUUAAUAUAGCUGCAUGCUUAUGUUUGGCUAUGAUCACAUUUAAAAUAUCAAAGUGUUGUCUACUGUGCUUAAAAGCUGUGUUUCUUGAUUUAAUUAUCGUUCAAAUAGAAUAGGACAGGCUUCGCAAAACAUGAUUUGGAGAGCGUUUGUCUUUGACCCUGCGAUUCUAUGCAACAGGUGACACGUUCAAGUUCAUCAGGUUCAAGUCCAGGAUGGGGGACCAGCACCAUCUCACAAAUAGUUUUGGAUGUUCUGCUCUGUACCAGGUUAUAAAGGACAAUUUCUUGAAGACACCAUCAACGGAAGGAGAGUGGCAUACGAUAGCCAUGGACUUCGAAAGGAAGUGGCAUUUAUUGCUUUGGGGUACUUGCUACCACUCCAGCUGUAGCAGACUGCUGACCACAACAUGGUUGAUGGGCAGUGGAAGAAUCAUGGGAUGGG